rnacentral:rRNA from 1 species
AGAGUGAACGCUGGCGGUAGGCCUAACACAUGCAAGUCGAACGGCAGCACAGUAGGAGCUUGCUCUUACGGGUGGCGAGUGGCGGACGGGUGAGGAAUACAUCGGAAUCUACCUUUUGGUGGGGGAUAACGUAGGGAAACUUACGCUAAUACCGCAUACGCCCUUCGGGGGAAAGCCGGGGACCAGCAAUGGCCUGGCGCUGAUAGAUGAGCCGAUGUCGGAUUAGCUAGUUGGUGAGGUAAUGGCUCACCAAGGCGACGAUCCGUAGCUGGUCUGAGAGGAUGAUCAGCCACACUGGAACUGAGACACGGUCCAGACUCCUACGGGAGGCAGCAGUGGGGAAUAUUGGACAAGUGGGCGCGAAGCCUGAUCCAGCCAUACCGCGGUGGUGAAGAAGGCCUUCGGGUUGUAAAGUCCGUUUUACGUUAGGUAAAGUAAAGACUAGUUACGGUUAAUACCCGGUGUUCGUAGACGGUACCCGAAAGAAUAAAGCCAACG